UUCGUUAAUUGGUUUUGAGAUGCUUGCAUCGAAGAUGAUUUUAACUAUAAAGUGAGUGGCGAACGGGUGAGUAACACGUGGGUAACCUGCCCAGAAGGGGGGGAUAACACCUGGAAACAGAUGCUAAUACCGCAUAACAAAAUUAACCGCAUGGUUGAUUUUUAAAAGAUGGCUUCGGCUAUCACUUCUGGAUGGACCCGCGGCGUAUUAGCUAGUUGGUGAGAUAAAGGCUCACCAAGGCAGUGAUACGUAGCCGACCUGAGAGGGUAAUCGGCCACAUUGGGACUGAGACACGGCCCAGACUCCUACGGGAGGCAGCAGUAGGGAAUCUUCCACAAUGGACGCAAGUCUGAUGGAGCAACGCCGCGUGAGUGAUGAAGGCUUUCGGGUCGUAAAACUCUGUUGUUGGAGAAGAACGUGUGUGAGAGUAACUGCUCAUGCAGUGACGGUAUCCAACCAGAAAGCCACGGCUAACUACGUGCCAGCAGCCGCGGUAAUACGUAGGUGGCAAGCGUUAUCCGGAUUUAUUGGGCGUAAAGCGAGCGCAGGCGGUCUUUUAAGUCUAAUGUGAAAGCCUUCGGCUUAACCGAAGAAGUGCAUUGGAAACUGGGAGACUUGAGUGCAGAAGAGGAGAGUGGAACUCCAUGUGUAGCGGUGAAAUGCGUAGAUAUAUGGAAGAACACCAGUGGCGAAGGCGGCUCUCUGGUCUGCAACUGACGCUGAGGCUCGAAAGCAUGGGUAGCGAACAGGAUUAGAUACCCUGGUAGUCCAUGCCGUAAACGAUGAAUGCUAAGUGUUGGAGGGUUUCCGCCCUUCAGUGCUGCAGCUAACGCAUUAAGCAUUCCGCCU
rnacentral:rRNA from 1 species